rnacentral:rRNA from 1 species
AGCGUGGAGACAGGUGGUGCAUGGCUGUCGUCAGCUCGUGUCGUGAGAUGUUGGGUUAAGUCCCGCAACGAGCGCAACCCUCACCCCUUGUUGCUACCCGGUAGAGCUGGGCACUCUAGGGGAACUGCCCCGGUCAACGGGGAGGAAGGCGGGGAUGAUGUCAAGUCAUCAUGCCCCUUACGUCCUGGGCUACACACGUGCUACAAUGGCCGGUACAAAGGGAUGCCACACCGCGAGGUAGAGCUAAACCCAAAAAGCCGGUCUAAGUUCAGAUUGGAGUCUGCAACUCGACUCCAUGAAGGAGGAAUCGCUAGUAAUCGCGUAUCAGCACGACGCGGUGAAUACGUUCCCGGGCCUUGUACACACCGCCCGUCACACCACGAAAGCCAGCUGUACUCGAAGUCGCUGAG